AGCGGCUGUUAGGAGGCGGCGGGCGAGCCCGCAAAGCUCCAGACGAGCUGGCGCAGCCGUGCUGCUCCAGGUGUGUUUGCUGUUCCUCGGAGGGGCUCCCGCUGCACUGGCACAGCUCAUAAGAUGAAGCAGCAGAUAAAACAGCUGAGCAUUGGCAGCAACCACAGAAAAGCAGCUCAGUGAAACUUUGGCCUGUUUUCUGGAAGUGUAGCGGUACAGACACCUCCCACUGUCACAAUUAAGCAGUCUGAUGAGACUCCAAGCUCCAAGAACUUGGGAUGGAAGAUAAACAUCCUUGUUAUCAAUUCUUAAGCUGCAAAGAAAAUUGGGUGCAGAUCUGAAUACAACUUUUUCACUGCUUCUAACACUACAUUCAUCAGCAUGACCUCUGGAGGCACUCUCCCACAGAAACACCACAAGUAGCAGUUAUUUCAUAAUCCAGGGCUUGUCCCAAACACUGCAAAAAAGCCAACUUGUAGCCUAGCAACUUCAGCCUGAUACUUUAUUUUUUAUUUUUAAAUUGGAAAAAUAAAGCUGGUAUCUUUUUGCUUGUAUGAUGUCAGCUUUGCAGAACACUAGUAACUUUUCUGGAUAACCUAAGAUGCAAAUCACUUUAGGGUAGCAGCCAUGUUCAAAAAACUCUGAUAAAGCGUUUAAGAUUAACAAUAUUUUUUGGCCUGAUUCAAUCAUAAACAUUUGUGUUUAAGAGGUCAACAAAGCAUAUGACAAAAACAGAGUUACUUACAUCAGUACACAAAUCACUAAUCAAUGAGUUUAUUAAGCUAAACCCAAUUACUAUGACUCCCUGCACAGGGGGUGUGAUUUAGCCCUGUGCAGCUCAGAGUGCACUACAUGCUUUCCAAGUCCCUUUGCAAUUCUUGAGAGCUCAACAAUAUUACUCAUUAAAUAAGGCACUGAUUGCACCAGCAAUCUGGGAAAUUUAAACGCUGGUACAAUAAACCUGUUUGGUGUUAAGAGGGAAGUUGUGUUUGUGAACAAGACUAAAUUGCAUGACUGCCUGCAUUACUAGAAACUAGACCACAGCAAGCCAGGAUAUUUCUAUUAUUACAUGUUCUUAAUAUUUGGGCUUCUCUGGGUCUGCAUUACCAGCUUUCUCUUGAUUUGCACACACUUUGAUAUGUGUUCUCAUUCUUUGGCUCAUUAUAGUAUCAUCUUUAUAUAUUCAUACUGGUUUUGGUUUAGUGAAGCCUAGAAGCCCUAGUGCUGUGUUACACAGCACACAGAAAAAAUGAUCCCCCGGUCACUUCCUUGACGUAUUUACCAAAAGCAUUAGCCAUUUCAAUGCUAGACGUCUCUUCACAUCUGUUCUCUCCUUAUGUAAUAUAGUAAAUAUUUAUGGAGGCUUUUGUUGGAAAAGCCUUCAAGAUCUACAAAGACCUGCAUUGAACAUUAAGGCUGCACUUAUAAAUCUGGCUCUUACUAGUCUAGAAAAGUUGAGAAUCCUCCUAAAGAUGAGAACUCCCCUUCCUAGACCACUUUAAGUCUAGGAGCUUCAAAGGAGCCAAAAGGAGUCUUGAUACGAAAAUAUUAGAAGCAGGCCUGGUUCUGAAGGCUGUCCCACUCCAAAGGAUACUUGUCUUCAUGAAAGUAGGAAAAACCGUGAAAAACUGAAAAAUUAAGUGUUCAGAAACUUGCAAAUAUUUGGAAGAAGAAAAAGAAGAAAAAGUCUUAUUCAGUUUUAUACUUGCAUAAGAUAAAGACUUCCCCCUGCAGCUCCUCAUGGAGACAGCCAGAGAGUUUUCUAAGAAUUCACAGUGACUCCUGGCUCACUCUCAAGUCUUUCAAGUUGUUUUUGACAUCUGUCCUGAUGAACAGACUUGAAAUUCAAUUGACAAAGUUUAAACUGACAGUUUAAAUAACAAAUGCAGUAGUGUACACCAGAAACAGUACUGACCACACAAGGUUUAAUAAGGGGUCAGGGAAGCAAAAAAAAAAACCCAAAAAGGACAAUAAAUAGUUGGGGAUUUUUUGUCUUUUUUUAGAAGCACACAAAAACAUACUGUAACCAAAACCCAAACCAGACUGAACUAAGUAUCAUUGCAAUUUAUGCCUAAAAUAAGCUGAAUCUCACAGGACUGAAUUUCUGUGCCUAUUGAUAGUUUAUUUUUUUAAGUUACUUUUUGGAAAGAAAAAGAAUCAUCCAUCUGUGCAAAAACGUCCUGCAGACAUAGCAACAGCCUUGUGUGCACGGAACAGUUAUUAUUAGAACAGAGCAAUAAC